GGAAUUUUCCGCAAUGGGCGAAAGCCUGACGGAGCAACGCCGCGUGAGGGAUGAAGGCCUCUGGGCUGUAAACCUCUUUUAUCAAGGAAGAAGAUCUGACGGUACUUGAUGAAUAAGCCACGGCUAAUUCCGUGCCAGCAGCCGCGGUAAUACGGGAGUGGCAAGCGUUAUCCGGAAUUAUUGGGCGUAAAGCGUCCGCAGGCGGUUUUGUAAGUCUGUCGUUAAAGCGUGGAGCUUAACUCCAUUUAAGCGAUGGAAACUGCAAGACUAGAGUGUGGUAGGGGCAGAGGGAAUUCCCGGUGUAGCGGUGAAAUGCGUAGAUAUCGGGAAGAACACCAGUGGCGAAGGCGCUCUGCUGGGCCAUAACUGACGCUCAUGGACGAAAGCCAGGGGAGCGAAAGGGAUUAGAUACCCCUGUAGUCCUGGCCGUAAACGAUGAACACUAGGUGUCGGGGGAAUCGACCCCCUCGGUGUCGUAGCCAACGCGUUAAGUGUUCCGCCUGGGGAGUACGCACGCAAGUGUGAAACUCAAAGGAAUUGACGG
rnacentral:rRNA from 1 species